rnacentral:lncRNA from 12 species
GGCUUAGUGUAGCAAUAUUCUCCAGUGUUUUAAAAGAAGUCAGGAAUUCAGAAUAUUUAAAGAUUAAAAAUAAUCUCAUUUUUUGUAUGUUGGCUGCCCCCCCCUUCCAAUUCUUCAGUGGAAAUUAUUCAAGGAAAUACCUAUUUGGGGGCUGUCCAUAGGUCUCUAGCUUGUUACCAUGUCUGGAAGAAGAUGAGAGGAUGCCAAGAUCAUUAAAGCCAGGACUGGGACCCACAUCAACAUCAUCUAUAAUCUAUUGGAUCAUGAUAUUCCACUGAGCUCAUCCAUCAGUACUUCUACCAAAUGGAAGACACAGAAAUUUCUGAAAAAUCUGAAUACAUCCCUCAAGUUGAACUUUCAGAAUGGCUGGGUAGCUUUGUCCUCCACCUGUGUCCAGCUAUUAGUAUUAAGCUGUGGUAAGCACUUUUUUCAAGACUGAGGGCCUGGCUGCCUUCCAGGGUCCCAUUGUUUAUGAACUUCCUUUUAUUUAAUGUUCUAUUUCUACAAUUACAGAUGUUGUUAAAUCUGAUCAAGAACCCAGGUGUGCUACCUCUUACAUACAGGCCCAUGUUAUCUUAAAGGUCCAGGACCUACAGGCUAGUUGGAACAGAGGAGCAGACAAAGAAGAAACGAAUAUUUAUUGUCUUGACUCCAAAAUAUGGUGAGAGAACUCUGCAAAAUACAGAAGGUUAAAAGAUUGCUACAACUCCUUCAUUGUGGUUUGCUUUAUAUACCACUGCAUGCUGUACGCAGAUGGAUUCCUAUUUAUGAGAAAUGAGAAGCAGAGUGUGGCCCACCCUGACUCCUCACCUUGCUCUUAUCAGACUGCAUCUGACAAAUGAAACAACAGGAAGUUUUGCUGGAAGCUGUUGAUGGCUGGGGUUAAACAGCAAGCAGUGAGUGGUCUAGAAAUGUUAUAAUACUAAGCACCGAUGUUGUUUCUACCA